UACGUAGGGCGCAAGCGUUGUCCGGAAUUAUUGGGCGUAAAGAGCUCGUAGGCGGUCUGUCGCGUCGGAUGUGAAAGCCCGGGGCUUAACCCCGGGUCUGCAUUCGAUACGGGCAGACUAGAGUGUGGUAGGGGAGAUCGGAAUUCCUGGUGUAGCGGUGAAAUGCGCAGAUAUCAGGAGGAACACCGGUGGCGAAGGCGGAUCUCUGGGCCAUUACUGACGCUGAGGAGCGAAAGCGUGGGGAGCGAACGGG
rnacentral:rRNA from 1 species